rnacentral:rRNA from 1 species
AGUGAACGCUGGCGGUAGGCCUAACACAUGCAAGUCGAUCGGCAGCACAGGAGAGCUUGCUCUCUAGGUGGCGAGUGGCGGACGGGUGAGGAAUACAUCGGAAUCUGCCCAGUCGUGGGGGAUAACGUAGGGAAACUUACGCUAAUACCGCAUACGACCUUCGGGUGAAAGAGGGGGAUCGCAAGACCUCUCGCGAUUGGAUGAGCCGAUAUCGGAUUAGCUAGUUAGCGGGGUAAUGGCCCACCAAGGCGACGAUCCGUAGCUGGUCUGAGAGGAUGAUCAGCCACACUGGAACUGAGACACGGUCCAGACUCCUACGGGAGGCAGCAGUGGGGAAUAUUGGACAAUGGGCGCAAGCCUGAUCCAGCCAUACCGCGUGGGUGAAGAAGGCCUUCGGGUUGUAAAGCCCUUUUGUUGGGAAAGAAAUCUUUCAGGCUAAUACCCUGGGAGGAUGACGGUACCCAAAGAAUAAGCACCGGCUAACUUCGUG